rnacentral:lncRNA from 1 species
CAUUCCUAAUACUCUAACACCAAAGUGGUUGAGAAUUUUUCAAUAGAUACUAAAUAAUCCAAAAAAAUAAAAAUAAAAUAUGAAUGCUGUUAAACUAAGAUUGUUUCAUACAAUUUCUACAGAAACAAGAAAAGUGUCCAUGCAAAUUCUUAUUUAUUAAAGCUGGAUUAGCUUGAAAAUUAAAUAUAAGUCUAACAACUAAAAUGAAAUUAUUUAUGCACCUGCCAUGGUCCCAUUUAAAAAACCAAAUAAAUAAGUAUUUUUCAACAUUGAGCUUCAAGCCUACUACUCUAUAAAAAUUAAUAACUGGUUGGCAAAAGGUACUUAUGUAUUAUAUAUCCCCACAAUGGAAAUAUGCAGAAAAUUAAACAAAAUAAAUAAAACAGAAAAUCCAUAAGCAAGAAAGGUCAUCUAUCAAGCUAAUUGUAAGGCACGCCAAUUGCCAAACAAGGUGCAACUGGUUUUGCACCCAAAUAUCUCUUUCUUAGCUGGUAUCAAACAGUGGGCCAUGCAAGUAGGGUUCUCUCUCUAGUUU